rnacentral:rRNA from 1 species
UACGGAGGAUGCGAGCGUUAUCCGGAUUUAUUGGGUUUAAAGGGUGCGCAGGCGGCGUGUCAAGUCAGCGGUAAAAUGUCGCGGCUCAACCCCGGCCGGCCGUUGAAACUGGCGUGCUCGAGUUGGAGAGAAGUAUGCGGAAUUCGUGGUGUAGCGGUGAAAUGCAUAGAUAUCACGAAGAACCCCGAUUGCGAAGGCAGCAUACCGGCUCCACACUGACGCUGAGGCACGAAAGCGUGGGUAUCAAACAGG